CCUACGGGAGGCAGCAGUGAGGAAUAUUGGUCAAUGGGCGAGAGCCUGAGCCAGCCAAGUCGCGUGAAGGAAGAAGGUUCUAUGGAUUGUAAACUUCUUUUGUAAGGGAAUAAAAAAGAGUACGCGUACUCUACUGUAUGUACUUUACGUAUAAGGAUCGGCUAACUCCGUGCCAGCAGCCGCGGUAAU
rnacentral:rRNA from 1 species